AAUGUAAUUAAGGGUGGGCGGUAUUUAUUUUUGGGCAUGGAAUCUAGUGGGCAUAGAGGACUCCUUCCAUACUUGAAACACUUCCAAGUUGGAUAAGAGUCAAAUUAAAAUAGAUCCAAUCCAAUUAGGUCAAAGAUAACUGAUCUAGUUUAGCUCAAAUACUUUGAACUUAAUCAAAUUAGAAACUUAGGUUAACAUAAUAUGCUAG
rnacentral:lncRNA from 1 species